GAAUGAAAGAAGCAAGAGAAUGAGCAUAGAAAUUGAAUUGGGGUUUUACGCCUGCCCUCUCUGAUUCCUUCCGGAUUUGACUUUGGGGCAUGCUUGCACAGCAUAACA